GUGAUUAUCUCAUACACCACUCGAGACGCUGCUGUUUGUUUACCUGUGGAUGACUGAAAUGCCGCCUCCUGCCUGCUGUGCAACUUGCUGCGGGACCACCGAGCCCUGCAAAGCUGACUGUAAAUGCAGCUCCUCUUGCACUUGUACAAAAUGCCCCUGCGGGACCAAAGACUCCAGUGGUUCGAAGUAAACGAGGUAUGAUGACCUUCCUGCCGUCUGUUAACAGAAGUAAUUACUUAAGUGACGUUUACAUCUAGAAACAAGAAAUUGUGAUUAAUAAAACGCUUAAAAUGUA